AAUCUCAAAUCCACCCCUUCUCUCCAAAUCUUCCUUUUCCGUGGCCGCCGCCGAUCCUCUCCGGCAUUCUGUGUCGCAUAACCACCAAUGCUCCCUCUCCUCCGCUCUCCCCGCUGUGGAAUACCAGAUCACGCUCUUGGGUGCCCCGGGCGAAGCAGCCACAGGUGCUCCAUUACCGCUGUCCCUUGCGUCUAUGUCCGAGUGGCCUGGCUGCUCACCCCGGCGGCGCAACCGCCGUCUCUCUGUCCACGGCGACCCUCCUUGACGCUCCCGCGCGCGCCAUUGUCGGCGAUCUGCUUGGUGUGCUUGCCGCCACCAGUCGUUCUGCGGCGGACUAGCAGCAUAUGAGGAUAUGCAAGCUGCAUAUGCUUGGUUCUCUGGGAAAUCAAGAUGAAUGAAUCAGGAACUCGACUCAAUUAGUGGGGGUUUGUAGAUCCUAUGCAAUUUUACUUCUAAAAUCUAUCAUCCCGCACUUGUUCUUUGCUAACAGGGAAUUACGGGACUGUUUUGUCUCAAUUCUUUGAUUGCCUGUGUCUGCUCGACCUUCCCACUGCCGCUCACCUUUCCAAGCAGAAAUCUCUAACUCUACGGCGUCCAAAUCCCGACGAAAUCGGAUGCCAUGUCGUCAUCUCUAAUUUCCCAACUUUGGGUUUUUCUAGCUGAGGUAAGGUUGAUACUGGAGAUGGAUACGUAGCCAGGUAGUUAUGUACUGAACAUAGGACAGAAAUAUUCAUCAGACUUAUGGUGUUUCUUCUAAAGAUGGCAUUGAUUUCACCCUCACUAAGAGUGUUGAGGGAGUGUUUCUGCAAUGAGUGAUUUCCCAGAGUAAAUUGUGAAAUCGCAUAAGUGAUGGCCACCUUAACCAUUGACUAGUGAGAUAUAUAUUGAGCAAGCUCUAUUCCGACGAGUAAAUGGGGAUGAUAAAGUUGAGACUAAUACAUCCUGCCAGCUAUUUUCAUUUUUAUUUCGCGAACUCUGAACAUAUUUGGUGUACCACAAUAUUUUGGUCUUCAUAAAGUUAUUUCUAUGGUUAUUCUGGUAAAAUAUUGUAUGCACACCCUCUGAAAAGAUCAUGACUCUGAUACAGUGCUACUGGUCUAUGCAAUGGCACGAGGUUGUUGAUUAAGGCGAAUGUGUUUGUUUUGGAGGCCAUGGUUCUCACUGGGAUGGUGCCAUGGUGGUAGGCGAGUCGGUCUGUAUUCCCAGAGUUGUGCUCAACACUUUCAAUCAUUUGUGGCCUUUUGUUAUGCAGCGGAGGCGAUGACAAGUAACAAGGGCGAGGGACAACCAUUGAGAAAGUUGCUAUUUAUUUGAAAGGUUGACUGGAGAUGGUCGUGUAGGCCAAUUAGUUGCUAGAAGAGGUCCAUGAGCGUGAGGAAAACUGGCGUAUUCGCGCUAGAGUGGCACGCCUAUGGGAGCACCAUGGUGGGAACAAGUAUGAUGUGCUUGUUUGGCUCCAUAUGGUGUUGGUGCACAAAAAGGAUGUUGGAUAUGUUUUUCAUGUCUUUUGUUUCAUGUCUCCGGUGCUUGGUUGGUUGUGUUGACGGGAUUGUUUUUUUGUGGUUGCAGGGUGACGGCAUACAUGCCUAUGUCCCCAAGACGAAGAUCCCAAACUUUCAGUAGCUUUUGAGAGAAGGGGUGGUACUAUUUCCGGCACUUUGAAAACAGCACAGUCAUAAGGCCAUACCGCCCUACGUUGUCAAUCACGGUGUGGACUAGGGUAGCGGAAAUUGAGCUUGCGCGUGAUGCUUUCCAAAUCAUGCCUUCAAGCAGAGAUGGUUCAGGAAAAUAGCCGAUGAUAUCAUGGACAAGACAUAUCUCGCAGAUGUUGUCGGGCUCAUAACUGAGGCAUCUGAUGUUGCAACAUUUGAUCUCCGUGGCAGUCCCAAGGCUAAUAGGCCUACACAUUUUCAGCUUAUUUGCAUGGUGGGUUUGUUUAGGGAGACAGAUGGAAGGUCUAUACUUUUUCAGCUUAUUUGCUUGGUGGGUUUGUUUCGGGACUGUUUGUCUGUCGCGGACUCUUUGGGUUGCUGGUUGUUUAAUGGGUUUGAUUUAUUUUUGUAGUUUCAACUUUGGUUAUGUGAGGAGAGCUUGCUAUGUAGAUCAAUACGGUUGAGCUCAUUUACAUGAGUCAAAUGGAUCCUCUCAUACUGUUGGGCAUGGGCUACACCUUCAAGAUGCAUGAUUUUUUUUUCC